UGGGGAAUAUUGCGCAAUGGGGGAAACCCUGACGCAGCAACGCCGCGUGAGUGAAGAAGGCUUUCGGGUCGUAAAGCUCUGUCAAUAGGGACGAAAAACACCGAGUAAAUAGCCCGGUGCAUGACGGUACCUAAGAAGGAAGCCCCGGCUAACUACGUGCCAGCAGCCGCGGUAAUACGUAGGGGGCAAGCGUUGUCCGGAAUUACUGGGCGUAAAGGGCGUGUAGGCGGAUAUAUAAGUUAGGUGUGAAAACCCAAGGCUUAACCUUGAGACUGCAUCUAAAACUGUAUACCUUGAGGAUGAGAGAGGAAAGUGGAAUUCCUAGUGUAGCGGUGAAAUGCGUAGAUAUUAGGAGGAACACCAGUGGCGAAGGCGACUUUCUGGCUCAUACCUGACGCUGAGGCGCGAAAGCGUGGGGAGCAAACA
rnacentral:rRNA from 1 species